AUUGAACGCUGGCGGCAUGCUUUACACAUGCAAGUCGAACGGUAGAGGGGGCAACCCCUUGAGAGUGGCGAACGGGUGAGUAAUGCAUCGGAACGUGCCCAGUCGUGGGGGAUAGCCCGGGUAAACCCGGAUUAAUACCGCAUACGACCUGAGGGUGACAGCGGGGGACCGACAGGCCUCGCGCGAUUGGCGCGGCCGAUGUCGGAUUAGGUAGUUGGUGGGGUAAAGGCCUACCAAGCCUGCGAUCCGUAGCUGGUCUGAGUGGACGACCAGCCACACUGGGACUGAGAGACGGCACAGACUCCUACGGGAGGCAGCAGUGGGGAAUCUUGGACAAUUGGCGCAAGGCUGAUCCAGCCAUGCCGCGUGCGGGAAGAAGGCCUUCGGGUUGUAAACCGCUUUUGUCAGGGAAGAAAUCCUUUGGACUAAUACUCUGGGGGGAUGACGGUACCUGAAGAAUAAGCACCGGCUAACUACGUGCCAGCCGCCGCAGUAA
rnacentral:rRNA from 1 species